rnacentral:lncRNA from 1 species
AUGCGGACAGUUGGGGCCAAGCAAGAAAGGACACAGAGCCUGCAGCCAAGCCCGGCCCCCGUGCGCUCCCAGCCCCGGCCUGGAGACUGGCGUCCGGCACCCGGGCCUGGAGCUCCGCGCACUCACGCCCGCACCUCUCCCGCACCCCCACCCGCCUCAGCCGGCCCUCCGCGUCCCGACGUCGCCGGCGCGCACCUGCUCCCGCCUGUCGGGGCCCCCGAGGCUGGCGCGGACCGGCCCGCCGGGACAGAUCCCACCCCGAGGCCGGGUCCCCGACAUCCGUCGCUGGGGCUUCUACCCCUCUCUUGCGAAGACAGUGAUUUUUUUUCCAAUAAAAUAUUUUAUGACACAGUGGGCCUUGAUGAAGGGGUUUCUGAGUCUGCGGGGCUGGAGAGGGGGUCGCGGCGAGGUGAGAGGGACCCCCACCCCCACCCCGGGCUGUGGAAGCAAAAGGUGACCUGCCCCUGGGCUCGGAAUGCUCGGCAGGCGGCCCGGUCGCUGCAGGAUCCGCGGCGCCGCUUCCUCUCGGUGAGGGGCCAGGGUGAGCCUCCUGCACUUUCUUCCCAGGCCAGGGCAUGGGCACGGGCACGGGCACGGGCACGGGCAGCCUGGCCGCACAGGGGUCGGAAAGGACCAGGAGCCCCGGAGCCCCGGAGCCCCGGAGCCCCAGAGCCGCGGAGGUGGCUCCGGACGUGUCCCGGGGCUUGGAGCCCCUUGGGUUGCUGGUUCGGUCUCCAGGGACUCGGAGAACCGCCUGAGAGGUCCUGGAGAUGGUCCCGGCCCGCUCUUCAACAGGCAGACGGGACGCCUGGGAUUCGAGGCCCGCACCGCGGUGCGCCACCCGCCGCAGCUCCACCCGCAGCGCGCCUGCGGCCGGGUCUUCACGUUCUGCGAUGUACGUGGUACACGCCAAGUGCCGGCACCUUGCCCCAGCUCCCGGCAGCGAGGGCACCUGACCAGGCGGAGGACAUCGGGCCAACCCAGCUGGUGCCAAGACGCCCUUUCCAGAGGUGCAGCUCCGCCGCGUGGGCCCCCAGUCGCCCUCUCCUUGCGGGAGGGUUUCGGUUGACUUCUGUCCCUCUAGGCUGGAUUGGGCAGGCCUGUGGCUUCCUGUCCUUGUACUUCUAUGAGGACCACCACCAGAGUAUGGGGAUGGAGAGAUGGCCACUUUGCUGGCUAAAGUCCAGGGAGAGACCCCAUCUUGGCCCUGCAGAAUUCCAGGUGGGUCCUCCAGCCGCAAAUACGGGGGACAGAGGAACAGCAUACCCAGAUUCGGGUUUCGCAUGUCGGAAUGUGAAAAUGACAGUGAUGGCCUCCACCUGGGGUGGCCACGGCUGCCCUUCACAUGGAAGCCUGACCUUCCUGGGUGAAAUCAGCACUGGGAUUUCCAGUCCCCGAGCACCCCGGGGCCUUGGUUAG